ACCGGCUGCUCCACGCUCGAGGACGGCUGCCCUGCCCAGGGCAGUGGUCACCUUGUCGCCGCCGGAACACAGCCUGGGCGCUUGGGGAACCAGGUCUAGAGUCCCACGUGCACUUAGCCAAAGGUAGGAGUGUGGUGCCAAGACCACACUUCUCGAAGGCAGUGACUACAGGCUGGUGUGGUUUCCACGGGCAGGUUUCAGCAGCUUCUGUCACCAGUAAGUAUUUAGCAGCACCGUCUUCUAGCAGCACUUCCCUGUCUAGUUCAAUUUUGAAACACAAAAUGGAUGGGAACCUACCAUCCUGGGCCUGAUGCUGAAAAAUUGGAAAAUCUAAAAGCAUCACAAUUGAUGCAAGAUCAAUGAAUUUACUUCAAAUGAAGCACAUUCUUCUGAACAAUCAGAAUGCAUUUAUCUCUUGCCCUAGACUUGCCUUCCUCUAUUGAAAGAUCUAGGAAACCAAAUUAGUCAUCAGAAAUUGGCUCUCUGC
rnacentral:lncRNA from 1 species